AACGAACGCUGGCGGCAGGCCUAACACAUGCAAGUCGAGCGAGGACUUCGGUUCUAGCGGCGGACGGGUGAGUAACGCGUGGGAAUGUGCCCUUCUCUACGGAAUAGCCCUGGGAAACUGGGAGUAAUACCGUAUACGCCCUAUUGGGGAAAGAUUUAUCGGAGAAGGAUCAGCCCGCGUUGGAUUAGGUAGUUGGUGGGGUAAUGGCCUACCAAGCCGACGAUCCAUAGCUGGUUUGAGAGGAUGAUCAGCCACACUGGGACUGAGACACGGCCCAGACUCCUACGGGAGGCAGCAGUGGGGAAUCUUAGACAAUGGGGGCAACCCUGAUCUAGCCAUGCCGCGUGAGUGAUGAAGGCCUUAGGGUUGUAAAGCUCUUUCAGCUGGGAAGAUAAUGACGGUACCGGCAGAAGAAGCCCCGGCUAACUCCGUG
rnacentral:rRNA from 1 species